rnacentral:rRNA from 1 species
UACGAAGGGAGCUAGCGUUGUUCGGAAUCACUGGGCGUAAAGCGCACGUAGGCGGAUGAGUCAGUCAGGGGUGAAAUCCCGGAGCUCAACUUCGGAACUGCCUUUGAUACAGCACGUCUUGAGUCCGGAAGAGGUGGGUGGAAUUCCUAGUGUAGAGGUGAAAUUCGUAGAUAUUAGGAAGAACACCGGUGGCGAAGGCGGCCCACUGGUCCGGUACUGACGCUGAGGUGCGAAAGCGUGGGGAGCAAACAGG